AACCGCACCCAGCAAAAGAUACUGCAAAACAUAGCCAUGAAAAGUCACACAACACCUCACUAAGGCAUAAACAAGAGAUUAGAGUCUCAUCAUACUAAUAAUAAUAAGUUUUCUAUAGCCUCUAAUGGAUUGCAGACAAAGCAUUAAAGAAAUUAAUCUAACUAAUUUACAAGAUCAUUGGAGUUCAUACAAAAUAAAGCACAUAGUAGUAUCAAGCUCAAGCUCGAGUACUAAAUUUCAAUCGAGCAUCCAGAAAAAUAAAUAUUCAUUAUCCAAAUAAAGUUCUCUUCACAAUUCAAUGGAACCCUGUUAUUUUAUAGAUAAAAAUUCCCAACCAAUUUAAAUUCUUGCAUUUUCUUAGCAAGCAAACAAAGAUAUAAAAAAUAGAAGGAUA
rnacentral:misc_RNA from 1 species